rnacentral:rRNA from 1 species
GAUGAACGUUGGCGGUGUGCCUAAUACAUGCAAGUCGAACGGAGUUAAUAGCAAUAUUGACUUAGUGGCGAACGGGUGAGUAACGCGUUGGUGAUCUGCCCUUGAAGUGUGGAAUAACGCUCCGAAAGGAGCGCUAAUACCGCAAUGUGCUCUCAAUUUUUAGAAACUUGAGAGGAAAGGAUUUAUUCGCUUCGAGAGGAGCCUGCGUCCCAUCAGCUGGUUGGUAGGGUAAAGGCCUACCAAGGCAAUGACGGGUAGGGGACCUGAGAGGGUCGGCCCCCCACAAUGGAACUGAAACACGGUCCAUACACCUACGGGUGGCAGCAGUAGGGAAUAUUAGAAAUGGACGAAAGUCUGAUCUAGCAACACCGCGUGUGCGAAGAAGGCCUUCGGGUCGUAAAGCACUUUUUGGAAGGAAUAGGAAGGAAUGUACUUCCAGAAUAAGUCUCGGCUAACUACGUG